rnacentral:piRNA from 1 species
UGAAAAUGCUUGCCUUUUCUUCUGGUUUCU